CUUCUCUACAAGGAUUCCUGGUCUGCGCCUGAGUCUGUUAACUAAACGUGACAGAACGAUCCAGCCAGCAUGGACUCAGCGGGUCAGGAUCCAGCUGCUCAGGACCCUGUCGCUCAGGCUCUCAUCGCUCAGGGAACUGCUCUGGCUCGACAUGAGCAGAUGCUUGAGCAGCUUCGCAACGAGAUAGCGGUGUUCACACAGGCGGUUGCUCGUUUAACUCCUCUGGAAGGCAAACCUCAGCCGGCAGUCCCUGCCCCCCAGGAGCCUCCACCUGCCACCGCUGCAGUCGCCACGAGCCCACCACCGGCACCCGUUCCACCCUUGGAUGGACCCCUGCCUACUCCGGAACCUUUUGCGGGUGGAUGACCGACUACGAGCCCGUCGUUUGCCGUGACAAUACAGUUCCCAGGAGGCCGCGGGGCAGCACAGCUCUUCCCGUCUCCCAGAGGGCGCUGAUGGGGGAGAGCAACCCAUGCAGAUAGGAGGCUCUCAUCUUUCAGCCGCGGAACGCCAGCGUUGCAUCACUGCCGGAGCAGAUGCAGACGAGGUCAGACGAGGAUGAAGUGGAGGCGAAGAUCCACUCGUAGGAUGGCAGGACCGGCCACAUCAUUUCCCAGAAGAAGAUAGUCAUAAUCAUACUUGUUUUUGUUGUGGUAUAAAACUGUAUUACCCGCUUACAGGGUCAUCCUUUUUGUG